rnacentral:rRNA from 1 species
CGCGCAGGCGGCCUGGUAAGUCAGAUGUGAAAGCCCACGGCUUAACCGUGGAAGUGCAUUUGAAACUGUCAGGCUUGAGUACCAGAGGGGAAAGUGGAAUUCCCGGUGUAGAGGUGAAAUUCGUAGAUAUCGGGAGGAAUACCGGUGGCGAAGGCGACUUUCUGGCUGAGUACUGACGCUGAGGCGCGAAAGCGUGGGGAGCAAACA